UACGGGGGGGGCAAGCGUUGUUCGGAAUUACUGGGCGUAAAGGGCGCGUAGGCGGUUGGAUAAGUCAGCUGUGAAAACCACGGGCUUAACUCGUGGCCUGCAGUUGAGACUGUCUGGCUUGAGUGUGGGAGAGGAGAGUGGAAUUCCUGGUGUAGCGGUGAAAUGCGUAGAUAUCUGGAGGAACACCGGUGGCGAAGGCGACGUCCUGGACCGGCAUUGACGCUGAGGCGCGAAAGCCAGGGGAGCAAACGGG
rnacentral:rRNA from 1 species